GACGAACGCUGGCGGCGUGCUUAACACAUGCAACUCGAGCGAUGAAGUUCCUUCGGGAAUGGAUUAGCGGCGGACGGGUGAGUAACACGUGGGUAACUUGCCUCAUAGAGGGGAAUAGCCUUUCGAAAGGAAGAUUAAUACCGCAUAAGAUUGUAGUACCGCAUGGUACAGCAAUUAAAGGAGUAAUCCGCUAUGAGAUGGACCCGCGUCGCAUUAGCUAGUUGGUGAGGUAACGGCUCAACAAAGCGAAGAUGCGUAGGCGACCUGAGAGGGUGAUCGGGCACAUUGGGGCUUCGACACGGGCCAGACUCCUACGGGAGGCAGCAGUGGGGAAUAUUGCACAAUGGGGGAAACCCUGAUGCAGCAACGCCGCGUGAGUGAUGACGGUCUUCGGAUUGUAAAACUCUGUCUUCAGGGACGAUAAUGACGGUACCUGAGGAGGAAGCCACGGCUAACUACGUGCCAGCAGCCGCAGUAA
rnacentral:rRNA from 1 species